AGUGAACGCUGGCGGUAGGCCUAACACAUGCAAGUCGAACGGCAGCACAGGAGAGCUUGCUCUCUGGGUGGCGAGUGGCGGACGGGUGAGGAAUACAUCGGAAUCUGCCCAGUCGUGGGGGAUAACGUAGGGAAACUUACGCUAAUACCGCAUACGACCUACGGGUGAAAGAGGGGGAUCGCAAGACCUCUCGCGAUUGGAUGAGCCGAUGUCGGAUUAGCUAGUUGGCGGGGUAAUGGCCCACCAAGGCGACGAUCCGUAGCUGGUCUGAGAGGAUGAUCAGCCACACUGGAACUGAGACACGGUCCAGACUCCUACGGGAGGCAGCAGUGGGGAAUAUUGGACAAUGGGCGCAAGCCUGAUCCAGCCAUACCGCGUGGGUGAAGAAGGCCUUCGGGUUGUAAAGCCCUUUUGUUGGGAAAGAAAUCUUUCAGGCUAAUACCCUGGGAGGAUGACGGUACCCAAAGAAUAAGCACCGGCUAACUUCGUG
rnacentral:rRNA from 1 species